GUCCUUUUACUUCUCCAAACACAGCGGCUGUGACAUUGGGUGGCUCAACCAACUCCGUGGAGUUAUCGAUUUCUAUUUGUUCAAGACGCUCAGUCAAAGUUGAUUCUUCGGAGCUCAAAUCUCCAUUGGACCCUAUGCUCCUGAAGAUGUGUGGACGUGUUUUCAUUGCUCUUUCCGGAGUGCCGCUUGAUCUCGCCUCUCCGCCCGCUACGGGUGUCUAUACAGAUCUUACCCUCUUACGGCUUCUCAAGUUUUGUCUUUCACGUUUUGCUAGGAGCAGGCGGUAAGAAAAAGCUUGGGAACUAAACCCUAAUAGAUGCCAAUCAGUUCGAUGCCAUUCUAUGGUAUCAGUUUCACGGUGCUGCAUGGCGGAUGCACUGAUAAGUGGGCUCGAACUCUAGUGGGGUCGACGAAAUGAAAGGAAUCCGAUGUCCAGAGCUUCCUCGGAGGCAAUCAAAGACGGCUUGCCAUGCGUUCGUUACAAGCUCCUGAAAAGGGCGCGCGUCGGUUUGCCAAUGCUGGGCGCUACAUGCUGAUCACUACGGACUGUCGCUCUAUGCCAGGAAGACUAGGAGUUGGAGAGAAAGCAGGUGAAGCAUGUCGGGCAACUCUGUUUUGGAGUUGUCUUAGGGAGCAAUCCAUGGGUGGCAAUACCGUGCCAUUGAGGGCAAUACUGUGGGCAUCAUUUAUUACAUGUGCAAGUUGAUCAUCUCGAAUACAACAAAUUGCCUACACACGAUCAUUAACCCGACAUGUCAAUGGAUCCACUCGUCGGAACCAAUAUAAUCUCUCGGUCGUGUCCAGGGACGCCCGUAGUGAUUAUAUUGCAGCGAGGUCCAUUUUCAUUGUCGGGCAGGAUGAUUUAUGCUUGGUCAUUGUCUUCUAUGCAAUGCCAUUCGACCUUUGGCUUGUUGUCACAUUCCGGCACUAGAUCAAUCUUGGCAUGUAAUGGUGAUGUUCGAUAUGCAGACAUUGUCGUUCGUCCACGGUCUUGUGCCUUGUGCUGUCCCGUACAUGCUUCCAACCUCGAGGGACCUGGGACCCUUGUACCUGCUUUCUACCUUGCAACUUCUAUAGUACUUCGUCCCUCUCGGAGGCUAGGUGACACCAAAUCGCGGCACCAGCCACUGAUUUGCGCUUCUAUUGAAGGUCCUGAUCGCCCGUGUUAACCGUCUCUUUGCAAUGUAGGUUGCAAAUAGAUGAUGGGCGCUGGUACAGACUACGGUUUCGGUCGUGGUCCCUCCCUUUGGGGAGAAGAAAGCGGUUUUUGGGGAUGUUCUUUGUCCGCUUUGAAAUGCCCCCCAAUGUUUCGCUACUGCGGGGAGGAAACAAAAACCUGUCCCUGAGGGUACUGUAUCACACACAAGAGGUCGGAUCAAGUGGCGCUGGAAUGUGAAUUGAUAGGCAGGACACAUGUCUGAAAGAUGUAGGGAGAUGGUGCGUUUGAUCCAAGGUUCGACUGGGAUGUCUAGGAGAGGUAAAGGGUCGAUUUCCCCGCGGAGGUUGUGAGGCAUAACAGUGUCAUAAACCGCGUUCACUUGACAAUUGCAUUCCUCAACUGCUCAACUACUUGUCAAAGGUUCUGUGCUACACUGCUCCCACAAACAGCCCGAUGAUCAGCAGUCGCUGCCUUUCAAACCGAGCGAGCCCUUCUCCUCUCCGUCGCGACGCUCAGGAUCGAACCAGCUAUUGAUCGAAGCAUCAUCUGGCAUCGUGAGCUUUGGGGUUCGUACAGGGAAUUUGAUGCGGGACCCCUUAACGGGGAUCAAAGUUUAGGCUUGUCUGCUUGAAUUCUGCUGUUGUCUUCCAUGUCACGAUUACUUUGGAUGCUACUGCUUCUUUCAGGAUCGGGCUGAGUUAGCUACGAAGUGAAGGCGCUCUGUUGAUAUUCACGGUGGCACUGCGUUGAGACUCUGGAUUCCAUACAGGAAGGGGGCUGGAUGUACAGCCUGAAGUAUAGUAGCCGAACAGUUGAGGGUGUUUUUAGUCGGUGGACCUGCCGUUCCUCUUCCGGGGAACGGCCCAAUUUUUUCUU
rnacentral:telomerase_RNA from 1 species